UACGGGGGGGGCAAGCGUUGUUCGGAAUUACUGGGCGUAAAGGGCUCGUAGGUGGCCAACUAAGUCAGACGUGAAAUCCCUCGGCUUAACCGGGGAACUGCGUCUGAUACUGGAUGGCUUGAGUUUGGGAGAGGGACGCGGAAUUCCAGGUGUAGCGGUGAAAUGCGUAGAUAUCUGGAGGAACACCGGUGGCGAAGGCGGCUCGCUGGGGCCUUUCUGACACUGAGGCACGAAAGCUAGGGUAGCGAACGGG
rnacentral:rRNA from 1 species